UGCCAGCCGCCGCGGUAACACGUAUGGGGCGAGCGUUGUUCGGAAUCAUUGGGCGUAAAGGGCGCGCAGGCGGUUAUACAAGCCUGGUGUGAAAGAUCGCAGCUCAACUGCGGGACCGCACUGGGAACUGUAUGACUGGAGUUCAAGAGGGGAAGCUGGAAUUCCUGGUGUAGGGGUGAAAUCUGUAGAUAUCAGGAAGAACAUCAGUGGCGAAGGCGAGCUUCUGGCCAGAUACUGACGCUGAGAUGCGAAAGCGUGGGGAGCGAACAGGAUUAGAUA
rnacentral:rRNA from 1 species